rnacentral:rRNA from 1 species
GGAGGCGAGCGUUAUCCGGAUUUACUGGGCGUAAAGCGUGUGCAGGCGGUUUGAUAAGUGGGAUGUGAAAGCUCCUGGCUUAACCGGGAGAGGUCGUUCAAAACUAUCAGGCUAGAGAGUGGUAGAGGGAGAUGGAAUUCCGCGUGUAGUGGUGAAAUGCGUAGAUAUGCGGAGGAACACCAGUGGCGAAAGCGGUCUCCUGGCCCAUUUCUGACGCUCAGACACGAAAGCUAAGGUAGCAAACGGGAUUAGAGACCCCGGUAGUCUUAGCUGUAAACGAUGUGAACUUAGUGUCGGUGGGGUUAAAUCCAUCGGUACUGAAGCUAACGCGAUAAGUUCACCGCCUGGGGACUACGGCCGCAAGGUUAAAACUCAAAGGAAUUGACGGGGCCCCGCACAAGCAGCGGAGCGUGUGGUUUAAUUCGAUGCUACACGAAGAACCUUACCAGGGUUUGACAUGCAAGUGGUAGGAAGCUGAAAAGUGACCGACCCUUCGGGGAGCUUGCACAGGUGCUGCAUGGCUGUCGUCAGCUCGUGUCGUGAGAUGUUCGGUUAAGUCCGCUAACGAGCGCAACCCUCGCUGUGUGUUAUAUGUGUCACACGGGACUGCCGGUCUUAAGCCGGAGGAAGGUGGGGAUGAUGUCAAGUCAGCAUGGCCUUUAUAUCCUGGGCCACACACACGCUACAAUGGCCAGCACAAUAGGUUGCCAAACCGCGAGGUGGAGCCAACCCAUAAAGCUGGUCUCAGUUCAGAUUGCAGGCUGAAGCCCGCCUGCAUGAAGAUGGAGUUGCUAGUAACCGCAGGUCAGCUAUACUGCGGUGAAUACGUUCCCGGGGCUUGUACACACCGCCCGUAAGGGCGAAU